GAAAAGAGGAUGUGGAACCUCUACUUCAGAUAAAGAGGAGGAAGGAUGUCACUGGAAACUAUAAAGUACAUUUCAUCGACCCCACUCCUGCCAUAUUUACUCUUAACUCUUUGCUUCAGUUCUAGUCCAUCUCACUUUACCCACAACCUUCUGGUCUCUUUCCCCCAUAGCUUUUGCUUUCCCAUGGAAGUCCUUUGAACCCAAAAGCUGAAGGAGCUUGUAGAAAUCUAAGUAAUGCAUGCUGACCUGUGGGUAGAUACCUCUGGCCCAAUAUCUCCAUGGUAGCAAUUCUAAGGAAUAGUUGUCUGAGUUGUCAUGAAGCCAGAAGUAGAAAAUAGCAUAUGCUACAGUCUGAGAAUUUCAGAUGGACACCUGUCCUUGGGAAAAGUUGAGGGAAAGAUGUUGGUGUGGCCCAAGGUCCUAAAGCAUGGAACAUUGGAUUGGCACUUCACACUUUGUGGGAUUCUGAGAAGCAAUUUCUUGCAUGACCAGGUGAUUAUUCAUUUGGAAAGGCAUUUGACUCCAAAUGAAAGAAUUGAAAUGGUCUCAGUUAAGAUUUCACCUGCAAGAAGUCACUCCUGGUCUGUGGCUGUCUUUCCAUUGAGAUGA
rnacentral:lncRNA from 1 species